UGGAGAGUUUGAUCCUGGCUCAGGACGAACGCUGGCGGCGUGCUUAACACAUGCAAGUCGAGCGGUAAGGCCCUUCGGGGUACACGAGCGGCGAACGGGUGAGUAACACGUGGGUGAUCUGCCUCGUACUCUGGGAUAAGCCUGGGAAACUGGGUCUAAUACCGGAUAUGACCACGAAUCGCAUGGUUUGUGGUGGAAAGAUUUAUCGGUGCGAGAUGGGCCCGCGGCCUAUCAGCUUGUUGGUGGGGUAAUGGCCUACCAAGGCGACGACGGGUAGCCGGCCUGAGAGGGCGACCGGCCACACUGGGACUGAGACACGGCCCAGACUCCUACGGGAGGCAGCAGUGGGGAAUAUUGCACAAUGGGCGGAAGCCUGAUGCAGCGACGCCGCGUGCGGGAUGACGGCCUUCGGGUUGUAAACCGCUUUCGACAGGGACGAAGCGAGAGUGACGGUACCUGUAGAAGAAGCACCGGCCAACUACGUGCCAGCAGCCGCGGUA
rnacentral:rRNA from 1 species